GACGCACGCUGCCACCCACCCUUCCCCCAAUUUACCACACAUUUCAAUAGAACAACACAGAGGGAGAAGAAGUGGAAACGAGAGACUGAGAAACAGGGGAAAAGGGAGCAAGAGAGCACGAUAUGCAGAUGGAAGAAGGAGGGAGGCCGUCGCACUUCUAGCCGCCGCUGAAGCUCCCCUUACCACUGUCCAUGCCGGUUAGGGCAGAAGAGAAGAGGAAGAAUGACGGAGAAGAGAGAUUGACGGGGAGGGUAAUGCUGCUGCUGUCGAUGUGGGGCUGCUACAGGAACGGAGGUCGAGUAUUGACGCUGGUGCUGCCAUGGGACUGUUGAAGCCUGUUCGUGGAGCAGUGUGGAUUCUUUGUGUUACUGGAAUUCCAGCAGGUUAUAACAUAGCUAUCUGUUGGUCUUGGUAUUAACGUAUUUAAUUAAAUGGAGCUUUGCUUUGUUGUGUAUGGGUUUUCAUGUUACAGUCAACGAGGCUCUCUUGGCUGUUGCAGAGAUUUGAGUUCAGUGUCCGUUACAAUUACCGUUACCAUGUCCUCCGAUUCCAUUCCUGAAAAUGAAAACCUCAUCCUUGUGCUGCUUCUCUCUAUUUUACCUUCCUUCCAUUUUCAUUUUUUGAAGCUCAAAACAUGUUCCCUUUCUAAUUCUCAUUUCUCCCUCUCUGUUUAUGUGCAGUUAGGGUGUGGAUCAGUGUCAAUUGAUUUGUUGGCCACUGUUGCUGCUUAUCCCAAACCUGAUGAAAAAAUCAGAAGCACUUCUUUCAAGGUUGAAGGAGGUGGCAAUGCAGCAAAUGCUCUAACCUGUGCUGCUCGCUUGGGACUCAAGCCAAGGCUUAUAUCCAAGGUUGCAGAUGACACUCAUGGCAGGGCCAUAAUAGAUGAAUUACAGGCUGAUGGUGUUGAUACAUCUUCUAUAGUGGUAUCCGAGGAAGGGACUUCACCAUUUACUUAUAUCAUUGUGGACAGUCAAACGUAAUGAUCAUUCUAACUGUUGUCAAUCUUUAUUGAAAAUUUGACCUAUAUAGUACUCUCAAUUCAUUACUUAGUACUUACUCUCUUGAUUGUUUUGACUCAUUGUACUAAUCCUAUCUACAUAUGGCUACACCAUCUUUCUUUAUUGAGUAAUUUGGUUAUCUGAAUUUCAGAAGGAAAAUAAGGGCAUUGAUUAGGUGGAUCUAAUUGAGAAUCUAGUCAAAGUCCCGUGCUUGGAUUUGAUCAUAAAAUAGUGGAUUGUGUUGUAUUUUUAUUUUUCUUGAAUAGAAAAAUCAAAGUAAACAAAAGUUGCAAACCCUUUUUUGCCUAUACAUCUCUUUUUUAUUUUUCUUGAAUAGAAAAAUCAAAGUAAACAAAAGUAAGCAGGUUAAUACUGGAAUUCUCUGUUCUAUGAUAUUUGGCAAAGUUUUUCAUGAGAAAAAUGUCUUGAUAUGCCUUUCACUCGAAGGCAGAGUAGCUGAAAUUUUGGAAGGGCAUGAGUGAAAAUCAGACAGGUUCAUCUUUUAUGAACUAGAAAUCGAGUCAAUGAGGCAAUGAUGCUCUUCAUGAAAUUGAGUUAGUCCUUGUUCUAGCUGUUAAAUACUAACUGCUAAAUCCUCUGUUAAAUCUUGCUGAUCAAAUUAUCUUUUUUGCAAAGCCUGGAGCAAUUAUUGGUCUCUCUGGAAUCUUAAGUGAACAGGUCCAGAACUUUUACAAAAAUAUUCACUAUUCUUAGAAGGCAUAGAAGUGUUGAAAAUGGAUGACUGGGUCUGUGUGAGUGGCAGAAAAAGAAAGAAUAUAGAGUUGAUGUAUACUAAGAAUUAUAGUUGAUGAUCAACAUAUUUUGUUUAUGUUUUGAAUUAUAUUGAGUUGCUUGUUUAUAGUACUUUUCUUUUAGUUUGAUAAUACGAUGAAUUUGUUUAUUUUUUGAAA